AGGACGAACGCUGGCGGCGUGCUUAACACAUGCAAGUCGAGCGGAAAGGCCCUUCGGGGUACUCGAGCGGCGAACGGGUGAGUAACACGUGGGCAACCUGCCCCUAGCACUGGGAUAAGCCCGGGAAACCGGGUCUAAUACCGGAUAUGACCUUCAAGGGCAUCCUCGAAGGUGUAAAGGAUUCUGGCUAGGGAUGGGCCCGCGGCCUAUCAGCUUGUUGGUGGGGUAAUGGCCCACCAAGGCAACGACGGGUAGCCGGCCUGAGAGGGCGACCGGCCACACUGGGACUGAGACACGGCCCAGACUCCUACGGGAGGCAGCAGUGGGGAAUAUUGCACAAUGGGCGAAAGCCUGAUGCAGCGACGCCGCGUGAGGGAUGACGGCCUUCGGGUUGUAACCUCUUCAGCUCCGACGAAGCGAAAGUGACGGUAGGAGCAGAAGAAGCACCGGCCAACUACGUGCCAGCAGCCGC
rnacentral:rRNA from 1 species